rnacentral:rRNA from 1 species
GACGAACGCUGGCGGCGUGCUUAACACAUGCAAGUCGAACGGAAAGGCCCUGCUUUUGUGGGGUGCUCGAGUGGCGAACGGGUGAGUAACACGUGAGUAACCUUCCCUUUACUUUGGGAUAACUUCAGGAAACUGGGGCUAAUACCGGAUAGGAGCUCCUGCUGCAUGGUGGGGGUUGGAACGUUUCGGCGGUUGGGGAUGGACUCGCGGCUUAUCAGCUUGUUGGUGGGGUAGUGGCUUACCAAGGCUUUGACGGGUAGCCGGCCUGAGAGGGUGACCGGCCACAUUGGGACUGAGAUACGGCCCAGACUCCUACGGGAGGCAGCAGUGGGGAAUAUUGCACAAUGGGCGGAAGCCUGAUGCAGCAACGCCGCGUGCGGGAUGACGGCCUUCGGGUUGUAAACCGCUUUCGCCUGUGACGAAGCGUGAGUGACGGUAAUGGGUAAAGAAGCACCGGCUAACUACGUG